UUCAACGAUUGCUGGCUAUUCCUAUUCAUGGAAUUUAUUUUUUUGAUGGCCAAUCCUACUUUAAUGCCAGAAACGCUGACAACAUUCACAGGGAGCCACGGAACUCUACCUUUAUUGACUGAUUCUCACCACCACAUCUAUGGCAUAUCUAUGGUGCUACUUUACGCUUCAUUUUCAUACAUUUUUGUUUUUUUGGUGCCCAGCGAUAGCCCUUCUUGAAGCACUUCCUGCCAGCAGCCGGCUGAGGCUUAGUCGUGUCCUGAAUCUGAGCCUCCAAGCUGCAGCAGAAAAUCAACAGUAGCAGUCCAAAGAGGCAGACAUUAGUUGGAGAGAUCUUCAUGUCUCGGCGGAUCUCGGUGUAUUAACAAACUGCUUCGGCCCUGUGCUGGAGCUAAUUAAGUUAAAGAGCCGAAACGUUAUAGUGCUUGAAGCUUGACAAAACCAUUUGGACAUGGAUG
rnacentral:lncRNA from 1 species